GAAGGUAUAGCUCAGUGGUAAAGUGUAUGCCCAGCAUGCACGAGGUCCUGGGUUCAAUCCCCAGUACCUCUA
rnacentral:tRNA from 1 species